rnacentral:rRNA from 1 species
AACGAACGCUGGCGGCAGGCCUCAUACAUGCAAGUCGAGCGGACGGACCCCUUCGGGGGCGAGUUAGCGGCGAACGGGUGAGUAACAGGUGGAUGAUCUGCCUCCCGGUGGGGGAUAACGGCUGGAAACGGCCGCUAAUACCGCAUUCGGUUGAUGCGUUGCGGCGCAUCAAAGAAAGGCGCUUCACGGCGCUGCCGGGAGAUGAGUCCGCCCCCAUUAGCUAGUUGGCGGGAUAACAGCCCACCAAGGCUUCGAUGGGUAGCCGAACUGAGAGGUUGAUCGGCCACACUGGAACUGAGACACGGUCCAGACACCUACGGGUGGCAGCAGUAGGGAAUAUUGGGCAAUGGGCGAAAGCCUGACCCAGCCAUGCCGCGUGAGUGACGAAGGUCCUAUGGAUUGUAAAGCUCUUUUCUGAGGAAAGAACAUCCGGGGUAGGAAAUGACCCCGGCUUGACGGUACCUCAGGAAUAAGGGAACGGCUAACUCCGUGCCAGCAGCCGCGGUAAUACG